rnacentral:rRNA from 1 species
UGGGGAAUAUUGGGCAAUGGGCGAAAGCCUGACCCAGCGACGCCGUGUGGGCGAUGAAGGCCUUCGGGUUGUAAAGCCCUGUUGGGUGGAAAGAAGGGCUCUUGGAUGAAUAAUCUUUGAGUCUUGACGGUACCACCAGAGGAAGCACCGGCUAACUCCGUGCCAGCAGCCGCGGUAAUACGGAGGGUGCAAGCGUUGUUCGGAAUUACUGGGCGUAAAGGGCGCGUAGGUGGUGGUGUAAGUCAGAUGUGAAAUCCUGAGGCUCAACCUCAGAACUGCAUC